rnacentral:ncRNA from 1 species
GUUUUUGAAUUGAAGCAUCUUUAAGAUUCUUGCCAGUGAGAUGUACAAUUUGGUAAGUAGUAAGGAGUCGCUCUAAUUGACGGCGUAUAGCUUCAUUAAUCUUUUGGCUCCCCAUACUUCCUCCCAUAACGAGCAGUACUUUUUUAUUGGCAUCAAAACCUGUUAAUUGAUAACC